rnacentral:tRNA from 1 species
GGGACGCUGGUCUAGAGGAAUGAUUCUCGUUUCGGGUACGAGAGGUUCUGGGUUCAAUUCCCAGGCGUCCCC